AGUGAUUCUUUUAAAUGCAUGCCCCAUUCCUUUUGGUUUGGUUGUCUCAUAUAUGUGUGUGUGUGUGUGUGUGUGUGUGUAUAGAAACACACACAAAUACACAUACAUAAACACACAUAUGAUA
rnacentral:miRNA from 1 species